rnacentral:rRNA from 1 species
GACGAACGCUGGCGGCGUGCUUAACACAUGCAAGUCGAACGGAAAGGCCCCAGCUUGCUGGGGUACUCGAGUGGCGAACGGGUGAGUAACACGUGGGUGAUCUGCCCUGCACUCUGGGAUAAGCCUGGGAAACUGGGUCUAAUACCGGAUAGGACCGUGCUUUAGUGUGUGCGGUGGAAAGUUUUUCGGUGAAGGAUGAGCCCGCGGCCUAUCAGCUUGUUGGUGGGGUAAUGGCCUACCAAGGCGGCGACGGGUAGCCGGCCUGAGAGGGUGUACGGCCACAUUGGGACUGAGACACGGCCCAGACUCCUACGGGAGGCAGCAGUGGGGAAUAUUGCACAAUGGGCGCAAGCCUGAUGCAGCGACGCCGCGUGGGGGAUGACGGCCUUCGGGUUGUAAACCCCUUUCGGCAGGGACGAAGCUUUUGUGACGGUACCUGCAGAAGAAGCACCGGCUAACUACGUG